rnacentral:rRNA from 1 species
AACGAACGCUGGCGGCAGGCUUAACACAUGCAAGUCGAACGAGAUCUUCGGAUCUAGUGGCGCACGGGUGAGUAACGCGUGGGAAUCUACCUUGGAGUCUGGGAUAACAGUUGGAAACGACUGCUAAUACCGGAUACGCCCUUAGGGGGAAAGGUUUACUGCUCCGAGAUGAGCCCGCGUCCAAUUAGGUAGUUGGUGAGGUAAAGGCUCACCAAGCCGACGAUUGGUAGCUGGUCUGAGAGGAUGACCAGCCACACUGGGACUGAGACACGGCCCAGACUCCUACGGGAGGCAGCAGUGGGGAAUAUUGGACAAUGGGGGCAACCCUGAUCCAGCCAUGCCGCGUGAGUGAUGAAGGCCUUAGGGUUGUAAAGCUCUUUCGCCGGUGACGAUGAUGACGGUAACCGGAGAAGAAGUCCCGGCUAACUUCGUGCCAGCAGCCGCGG